rnacentral:rRNA from 1 species
AUUGAACGCUGGCGGCAGGCUUAACACAUGCAAGUCGAGCGGGGUGAUGGUGCUUGCACUAUCACUUAGCGGCGGACGGGUGAGUAAUGCUUAGGAAUCUGCCUAUUAGUGGGGGACAACAUCUCGAAAGGGAUGCUAAUACCGCAUACGUCCUACGGGAGAAAGCAGGGGAUCACUUGUGACCUUGCGCUAAUAGAUGAGCCUAAGUCGGAUUAGCUAGUUGGUGGGGUAAAGGCCUACCAAGGCGACGAUCUGUAGCGGGUCUGAGAGGAUGAUCCGCCACACUGGGACUGAGACACGGCCCAGACUCCUACGGGAGGCAGCAGUGGGGAAUAUUGGACAAUGGGGGGAACCCUGAUCCAGCCAUGCCGCGUGUGUGAAGAAGGCCUUAUGGUUGUAAAGCACUUUAAGCGAGGAGGAGGCUCUUUUGGUUAAUACCCAGAAUGAGUGGACGUUACUCGCAGAAUAAGCACCGGCUAACUCUGUGCCAGCAGCCGCGGUAA